UACGAAGGGGGCUAGCGUUGCUCGGAAUUACUGGGCGUAAAGCGCACGUAGGCGGCUCUUUAAGUCGGAGGUGAAAUCCUGGAGCUCAACUCCAGAACUGCCUUCGAUACUGUAGAGCUUGAGUUCGGGAGAGGUGAGUGGAACUGCGAGUGUAGAGGUGAAAUUCGUAGAUAUUCGCAAGAACACCAGUGGCGAAGGCGGCUCACUGGCCCGGUACUGACGCUGAGGUGCGAAAAGCGUGGGGAGCAAACAGG
rnacentral:rRNA from 1 species